AGCGAACGCUGGCGGCAGGCCUAACACAUGCAAGUCGAACGAAGUCUUCGGACUUAGUGGCGGACGGGUGAGUAACACGUGGGAACGUGCCCUUUGGUACGGAAUAACUCAGGGAAACUUGAGCUAAUACCGUAUGUGCCCUUCGGGGGAAAGAUUUAUCGCCAUUGGAGCGGCCCGCGUCUGAUUAGCUAGUUGGUGAGGUAAAGGCUCACCAAGGCUACGAUCAGUAGCUGGUCUGAGAGGAUGACCAGCCACAUUGGGACUGAGACACGGCCCAAACUCCUACGGGAGGCAGCAGUGGGGAAUCUUGCGCAAUGGGCGAAAGCCUGACGCAGCCAUGCCGCGUGGAUGAUGAAGGUCUUAGGAUUGUAAAAUCCUUUCACCGGUGAAGAUAAUGACUGUAGCCGGAGAAGAAGCCCCGGCUAACUUCGUGCCAGCAGCCGCCGUAAAAC
rnacentral:rRNA from 1 species